UACGUAGGGUGCGAGCGUUAAUCGGAAUUACUGGGCGUAAAGCGUGCGCAGGCGGUUUUGUAAGCCAGAUGUGAAAUCCCCGAGCUUAACUUGGGAACUGCAUUUGGGACUGCAAGGCUAGAGUACGGCAGAGGGGGGUAGAAUUCCUGGUGUAGCAGUGAAAUGCGUAGAUAUCAGGAGGAACACCAAUGGCGAAGGCAGCUCGCUGGAACGGUACUGACGCUGAGGCGCGAAAGCGUGGGGAGCGAACAGG
rnacentral:rRNA from 1 species